AUGAACGCUGGCGGCGUGCCUAAUACAUGCAAGUCGAGCGAACAGACGAGGAGCUUGCUCCUCUGACGUUAGCGGCGGACGGGUGAGUAACACGUGGAUAACCUACCUAUAAGACUGGGAUAACUUCGGGAAACCGGAGCUAAUACCGGAUAAUAUAUUGAACCGCAUGGUUCAAUAGUGAAAGACGGUUUUGCUGUCACUUAUAGAUGGAUCCGCGCCGCAUUAGCUAGUUGGUAAGGUAACGGCUUACCAAGGCGACGAUGCGUAGCCGACCUGAGAGGUGGAUCGGCCACACUGGAACUGAGACACGGUCCAGACUCCUACGGGAGGCAGCAGUGGGAAUCUUCCGCAAUGGGCGAAAGCCUGACGGAGCAACGCCGCGUGAGUGAUGAAGGUCUUCGGAUCGUAAAACUCUGUUAUUAGGGAAGAACAAAUGUGUAAGUAACUAUGCACGUCUUGACGGUACCUAAUCAGAAAGCCACGGCUAACUACGUG
rnacentral:rRNA from 1 species